AGUACAUGGAAAGAUUAAAGGAAACUCCACAAGGAAAUGGCAGAGCUUGGAAAAAACCUCUUAACUUCUCCCUCCUGGGUGCCCCUUCUAAGCAGCUUUGACUCUACAGCCUGAUAAUCCAGAAGCUGAGGCUUGGCCCAGAUUAUCUCAAAUCCAAGCUUGAAAGCGCCUCUGAUGACUCAGUAGCAGAUUCAUUUCUGUGAUUACCUGCGCCAUGAAACUUAGCACAAACGACAGAACUGUGGCAUCCACACCAGCAAGCCCGCACCAAAACACCGUAGGCGAGGAAGGCACAGAAUGGUCAUCCACAUCCCCAAGUGGGGCCACACACUCAGAUUUCUGCAAUAACAACAUGCCCCGUUUGGCAUCUCACCUGGGAUGCCACAAGGGUCACAGAAAAUCAGAGGGAGGCCAGUGUGACAUGAACAGCCCAGAGGAGAGAGCGCCAUCAGAAACGAUGUUGUGUGGACUGGAUGGCAACGGAUACUGAUUCCAAUAAAAGCCAAAUGUGGGUGCUACUAUAGCAAGCUGCAUGUGGUCUUCUUUUAAUAAAACCAGAUGUAGCCAAACAUCAAGGUAGGAAACACUGUUCUCAAUCAUUGAUGUCUUUCUUCUCUGAACGCCUCCCCCUCCCACCACGCUAUCAUCUUG